rnacentral:rRNA from 1 species
UGAUCCUGGCUCAGGAUGAACGCUGGCGGCGUGCUUAACACAUGCAAGUCGAACGGAGUUAACAUUUUUGAAGCAAUUAGCUUGCUAAAAGUGGAAAUGUUGUUAACUUAGUGGCGGACGGGUGAGUAACGCGUGGGUAACCUACCUUGUACAGGGGGACAACAGUUAGAAAUGACUGCUAAUACCGCAUAAGCGCACAGGAGUGCAUACUCUGGUGUGAAAAACUUCGGUGGUACAAGAUGGACCCGCGUCUGAUUAGCUAGUUGGUGAGGUAACGGCUCACCAAGGCAACGAUCAGUAGCCGGCCUGAGAGGGUGAACGGCCACAUUGGGACUGAGACACGGCCCAAACUCCUACGGGAGGCAGCAGUGGGGAAUAUUGGACAAUGGGGGAAACCCUGAUCCAGCGACGCCGCGUGAGUGAAGAAGUAUUUCGGUAUGUAAAGCUCUAUCAGCAAGGAAGAAAAUGACGGUACUUGACUAAGAAGCCCCGGCUAACUACGUGCCAGCAGCCGCGGUAAUACGUAGGGGGCAAGCGUUAUCCGGAUUUACUGGGUGUAAAGGGAGCGUAGACGGUUUUGCAAGUCAGAUGUGAAAGUCCAGGGCUCAACCCUGGGACUGCAUUUGAAACUGUGCAACUAGAGUGUCGGAGAGGUAAGUGGAAUUCCUAGUGUAGCGGUGAAAUGCGUAGAUAUUAGGAGGAACACCAGUGGCGAAGGCGGCUUACUGGACUGUAACUGACGUUGAGGCUCGAAAGCGUGGGGAGCAAACAGGAUUAGAUACCCUGGUAGUCCACGC